GGUGCUAUAGUGUAGUGGUUAUCACUCGGGAUUUUGAAAAUAUCUUCCCGAAACCCAGGUUCGAACCCUGGUAGCACCU